AUGAAAAACUUUGUGAAACAGUAUGUUCAAUCAUGCCUUGUUUGCCAGCAGGCUAAACCAGAAAGGGUAGCUUACCCAGGUUUGCUCUCUCCUCUGCCAGUGCCAACUAGAGCUUGGGAUACAGUAACCAUGGAUUUCAUUUCCGGUUCGCCUCAUUCUGACCAGUUUGACUGCAUCAUGGUUGUGAUUGAUAAGUUCACGAAGUAUGGCCAUUUUAUACCAGUGAAACACCCUUACAAUGCACAGAAAAUUGCAGAACUGUUCUUGGAUAACAUCUACAAACUACACGGUAUGCCCCGGCUGAUUUUUUCAGACAGGGAUCCGGUUUUCACUAGUUAG
rnacentral:rRNA from 1 species